UACGUAGGGCGCAAGCGUUGUCCGGAAUUAUUGGGCGUAAAGGGCUCGUAGGCGGUUCGUCACGUCGGGAGUGAAAACUCGGGGCUUAACCCCGAGCCUGCUUCCGACUACGGGCAGACUAGAGGUAGGCAGGGGAGAGCGGAACUCCUGGUGUAGCGGUGGAAUGCGCAGAUAUCAGGAAGAACACCGGUGGCGAAGGCGGCUCUCUGGGCCUUACCUGACGCUGAGGAGCGAAAGCGUGGGGAGCGAACAGG
rnacentral:rRNA from 1 species